ACGGGUGAGUAACGCGUGGGUAACCUGCCUCAUACAGGGGGAUAACAGUUAGAAAUGACUGCUAAUACCGCAUAAGACCACAGUACCGCAUGGUACAGGGGUAAAAACUCCGGUGGUAUGAGAUGGACCCGCGUCUGAUUAGGUAGUUGGUGGGGUAACGGCCUACCAAGCCGACGAUCAGUAGCCGACCUGAGAGGGUGACCGGCCACAUUGGGACUGAGACACGGCCCAAACUCCUACGGGAGGCAGCAGUGGGGAAUAUUGCACAAUGGGGGAAACCCUGAUGCAGCGACGCCGCGUGAGCGAUGAAGUAUUUCGGUAUGUAAAGCUCUAUCAGCAGGGAAGAAAAUGACGGUACCUGACUAAGAAGCACCGGCUAAAUACGUGCCAGCAGCCGCGGUAAUACGUAUGGUGCAAGCGUUAUCCGGAUUUACUGGGUGUAAAGGGAGCGUAGACGGAGUGGCAAGUCUGAUGUGAAAACCCGGGGCUCAACCCCGGGACUGCAUUGGAAACUGUCAAUCUGGAGUACCGGAGAGGUAAGCGGAAUUCCUAGUGUAGCGGUGAAAUGCGUAGAUAUUAGGAGGACACCAGUGGCGAAGGCGGCUUACUGG
rnacentral:rRNA from 1 species